GACGAACGCUGGCGGCGUGCCUAAUACAUGCAAGUAGAACGCUGAAGGAGGAGCUUGCUUCUCCGGAUGAGUUGCGAACGGGUGAGUAACGCGUAGGUAACCUGCCUGGUAGCGGGGGAUAACUAUUGGAAACGAUAGCUAAUACCGCAUAAGAGUAGAUGUUGCAUGACAUUUACUUAAAAGGUGCAAUUGCAUCACUACCAGAUGGACCUGCGUUGUAUUAGCUAGUUGGUGAGGUAACGGCUCACCAAGGCGACGAUACAUAGCCGACCUGAGAGGGUGAUCGGCCACACUGGGACUGAGACACGGCCCAGACUCCUACGGGAGGCAGCAGUAGGGAAUCUUCGGCAAUGGACGGAAGUCUGACCGAGCAACGCCGCGUGAGUGAAGAAAGGUUUUCGGAUCGUAAAAGCUUCUG
rnacentral:rRNA from 1 species